GGGUGUGAGUGAGAGCUGGCAGUGAUAUCUGCCACUUCAUUGAUUGCCAGUGGAGGUAGAGGUCGCCUUCAUUCCUCAGCUCUCUUUCUGCAUCCCUCUGACACUGCAGUAAAUGGAAAAGGGUGAUCACCUCCAGCAGUGGAGGACCAUUCCUCAGUGAAGAGUACAGGAGCCGCUGCGCUUCCUUGCAAGAGCCUCUCAACAGGCCCUCAAGGAGUAGAAGACAGAUUGAGAUGGGUGAGGACUGAGUAGGACGUACAUAAAGAAGAACACAUACAUGCAUAAAUAAUUCUUU
rnacentral:snRNA from 1 species